GGCUUUGCUGAUGUUCGUUUCCCUGAGAGAGGCAUAGCUGAGAACUUCUCCUGGCGUUCCUCCUAAUCCCUCUGGCUGACUGGAGCCCAGGCUGAAGCCUGGCUGGCUCUGCUAGGUCUUGUCACCACUGUUACUAAUCCAACUCUACUGAACUGGACUGCUGGUGUAUCCAUGAAGUGCUUGUGAGUGAGUAGAGCUUCGGCUGCCUGGUAACCUGUGACCUGAACUGAUUUCCAGAGAACCUUCCUAAACAGGUCUACUCUCCCCUGACCCCUGUCAUGGUGUCUGUUCUCAGCAAUGAAAGACUUAACUAAGACAUCAUGUGAAGAGCAAAGACUGUCAGAAGGAGUGGAAUGGAGAUGUGCCCUAGUUGUAUUGGCGGAGUUCAUCAGACAAUUUGUGGAGAGACCCGAUAUUAGUUUUCACCAGGCCAGCGUCAUUGAUUUAGUAAUAGUAUUCUUCUUCCAUAAACAUGCAGGUGCCUCCCUGUCUUCCUUGAGGAUGUCCAAUGUUCUCUGGUUCUGCAUGGUCACUUGGGGCCUAGCUGCUUUGGACCCAGCAGAUUUGGGGGUAACACCCAAACUUGGCGAAUGUACCUAAUAGGGACAGAAGAUAAAGUUGAGUUUGGGGAGAAAAAAAAUUUCCCCCAUGUGUACACUUACAACCUUUAGGCCCUGGGAGUUCCAAGACCAGGGGAAGGGGAAGAGAUCCUACCCUUUGGAAUGCGCAGGUAACACCUCUACGUGGCCAUUCUGUUGAACCCAGUGCAGAUGGGCUUCUGCCACUAAGCGCUUCCUAGCACAGAGAGAAGCAGGGGCUUGAACCGUCGUACAUCCCUCACCUGGAGUCCAUCAGGGAAUCUUUUUGAAGAUGCCUACAUGGAGGUGGGAGAAGGCCCUACCCUAAUAUGGUCUUAAGUCGGCCUCUUUACUCCUUUGAAGUCAGCAAGAAGAUGCAAGAGGAAGCUCAGCCCUAUAAAACCAAGUCUGCACGCAGAAGGCAUUUUCUGGUUGUCUAAGUUGGCUUUCAGGGCUGGCCAAAGGGUCCAGUUCUGGGGACCCAAAAAACAGUGCAGAGGGGCUUGCAGAUGGGGCUGAUGGGUCCAAGAGGGUGCGGUUACCGUGGACAGAGAAUCACCAGAGUCUGGAGGCUACUAUAGACCAAGCCAGGACUGCAAGGCCCCAGCAGCGUGUACAAGACUCCAGCCUGCCAGCUCUGCAUCUUUUUUCUACCCAAUUAUUUACUGUGAGACACGAUUGGUUGGUGGGAACAGUCAUUGUAAAUCAAGUUUCUUUAGAUAAAGGAAAAAUAAAAAGUUACUUUGAGACCUGU
ensembl:lincRNA 1110028F18Rik RIKEN cDNA 1110028F18 gene